AGAGUUUGAUUAUGGCUCAGAACGAACGCUGGUGGCGUGUUUAUACAUGCAAGUCGAGCGAGGACAGUAGCUUGCUACUGAGCCGAGCGGCGAACGGGUGAGUAACGCGUAAGCAAUCUGCCCCCACAAUCGGGAACAACCGUGCCAACGCGCGGCUAAUGCCGGAUAUUGUGUCCUACUGCAUAGUAGGUUAACGAAAGAUUUAUCGUUGUGGGAUGAGCUUGCGUCCGAUUAGCUAGUUGGCGGGGUAAUAGCCCACCAAGGCGACGAUCGGUAGCCGGCCUGAGAGGGUGAUCGGCCACAUUGGGACUGAGAUACGGCCCAGACUCCUGCGGGAGGCAGCAGUGGGGAAUCUUGCGCAAUGGGCGAAAGCCUGAACCGCAGCGACGCCGCGUGGGGGAUGACGGCCUUCGGGUUGUAAACCUCUUUUACCACUAACGCAGGCUCGGGGUGUUCUCCGGGUUGACGGUAGGUGGGGAAUAAGGACCGGCUAACUACGUGCCAGCAGCAGC
rnacentral:rRNA from 1 species